AUGGCAGUAAACCAAAGAGUAAAAAAAUUGGGGGAGUUCCCAUUGUGGCUCAGCAGAAACGAAUCUGACUAGCAUCCACGAGGACACAGGUUCUAUCCCUGGCCUCACUCAGUGGGUUAGGUAAGGCUCUGGUGUUGCCGUGAGCUGUGGUAUAGGUCGAAGAUGCGGCUUGGAUCUGGCGUUGCUGUGGCUGUGGUGUAGGCCAGUGGCUACAGCUCCGAUUGGACCCCUAGCCUGGGAACCUCCAUAUGCUGCAGGUGUUGCCCUAAAAAGACCCCCCCCAAAAAAAACCCCGUAAACAAAAACAAAUUUUGCCCUUGUAUACAAGAUCUAAGGCAAAUAGCAGGGUAUAUAUAAUGUAUCCAAUAAUGAUAAAUGCUGUGGAGAAAAAUAAGGGUGUGAGAGACUGAAAACAGUAGGAUUAGGGUUGAUGGAGUAAAGAACAGAAGUUUAGUGCUGGACAUUUCGUGAGAUAGAUGCCCAUUAGGUAUCUGUGUAUCCAGCGUCUAGGAGAUAGUUAGAUAUAUGCUCCUGAAGCUCUGGGAACAGAGCUAAGCAGUUUGAGUCUUUUUUGACCUGAUUACCCAGUAUAAGUUUGGGUAAUCAGAAAAGCUCAAAUUGGAAUGAGGUAAAAUUCUAAACUGGUGGCAUAGUUAUAUACCUGCAAGCACUCUUAUUUAACUUUGGAACUCAUGUCACUUAGAAGAACUGUCACAAUACGUUGCCCUUUUGGACAGUGGCUAUGCUUUCUGUGUGCUGGACUGUUUACCUUACUGAUUCUCAGUAAGGUAAAUAGUUUUAGGUUAGGAGGGCUGUAGGCUAUUAAGAACUGAUUGGUUUCGUAAAUUGUUAUAAGAGCAGAAUAAACAGAUCUCGAAGCUUUGAUAGGCUUAGAAGUAAAACUAAUGUACCAACUCAUAAAUGAAAACAUGAAAAUAAAUGGCCACUGGCAGUGCAUUGAGUUUUUGGUAAUCAUCGGAAAUUAAUAUCACGCAUGCAUCAUUUUAAUAGGUUUUUGCAGGCAGUCUGGUAGUUUCCAUUUUACUUCUUUGAAAGCUGCUUGUGUGCUUUGGAGAUGAUUAGAGAAUGUUUAGAAUUACUCAGUUCACACCGUGUUGACUUAGAUCUCUGUUGUACCUGAUAUAUUGCUUAAUUUUCCUCUUUACAUUUCUCAGAAGUAGUUUAAAAUCUGCCAUACUAGAUCACCAAAUCAAUCAGAUUGUAUUUUCUGUAGUUUUUGUCAUAAAAAAGAAUCAAUGUUCGGGAGGCAGUGAAUUCAUCAGACUAAAGGGUAGCAUCGCGAUGUCUCUCUUAUUCACUCUGGCUUUAGUCUCUGAGCGAAACACGUGGGCUAGGUGGUCUCCAACGGUUGAUUAUCUUUAAGUUUUUUUAUUUUACUCGUAUAAGAGUUCUACAAUUUCGUCAGUGUGCUGUUUUGUUCAGGAGCAUGAGUUUGGAAGCUGAUUCCUUGAUUCUUAGCCUGAUACUAACGAGCUGCAUCAUUUUGGACAAGUCAUCCAACCUCAGUUCCUUCAUCUGUAAAAUGGGGCUCAUGAUCAUGUCGACUCUGUGGGAUUAUUGAGAACCUUAAAUGAGCUAAUGACUACUCGGAGCAGUAAAUGUCUGACACAGUAAGUUUUAUGAGCAAUGGCUGUCAUUAUCCACUGUCACAUGUUGUUGGCUGUGAUAGUUCAUUCACCUCUUAAAUCCCACGUUGAGAAGACGCUUAAUGAAUGCUUCUUUGUCGCGGGUUUUGUAGACGUGACCAAUUGGGUGUCAAUGAGAUUGCAUGACCCGAGUCCCUUCCACUCAAGGUACCACGUGCUAGGUAAAUCUGAGUUCCAGGAUCAACUGACACUGGAAGUGGGUGUCUCGGGAGUACUGAUUCAUUAUAAAUAAUAGUAAUAAUACACGGAGAAUACGUCACUGUCAAUGUUAAUUAUGGCAGCGUAGCUACUUCCAAGGCUAGAAACUCUAUCUAGAAAUUUUAUGUAUCAUUCCCACACUGUAGCUGAAAGAAAUGCUAGUAACGUUAAUAGGAGGUCUGUAAGAGUUUCAGCGACUCAAAAAGGGACACGUAAAUAGAAUCAUUAGGCACAUUCCUCAAGUUGUCAGUCACACUGGUCGUGGAUUGAAUGUCCUGGGUGUGACUCCACUGGCAAAAAUAUCAGGGACUGUUUUGCAGAACAAAACCUUUCUGGCUGAGAAACCUGAAAGGCUUGCCGUUUAAUUGAUUUCGCUCAUUUGUGGUAGCUGAGCAGGUGAAUGGGAAGAUAACCGAUACCAUCCCGAAAACUUAGGCAGACAGGUGCUUCAUUUCUGCAUAAAAGUAUUCAACACCUGAUGGAAAUGCAAUGCAGGUCGAUGUUUUCUUUCUGCUUUACUUUCUGGACUAUUUCUGGAUUAUGAAGUGCCAAUAAUUGAGAAAGUGGAAGGAACAGCCAAUUAGAUGAGAACGCCCUCAAUUAGAUGUGAGAAGCUGGAAACAGUUGGCUGGGAGAAAGAAGGUUUCUAAUAAUUCCAACCAGAUCUAUUAAUUCUUUUCUAU
ensembl:lncRNA